CCUACGGGAGGCAGCAGUGGGGAAUAUUGGACAAUGGGCGAAAGCCUGAUCCAGCAAUGCCGCGUGAGUGAUGAAGGCCUUCGGGUCGUAAAGCUCUUUUACCAGGGAUGAUAAUGACAGUACCUGGAGAAUAAGCUCCGGCUAACUCCGUGCCAGCAGCCGCGGUAAUACGGAGGGAGCUAGCGUUGUUCGGAAUUACUGGGCGUAAAGAGUACGUAGGCGGUUAUUCAAGUCAGAGGUGAAAGCCCGGGGCUCAACCCCGGAACUGCCUUUGAAACUAGAUAACUAGAGUCUUGGAGAGGUUAGUGGAAUUCCGAGUGUAGAGGUGAAAUUCGUAGAUAUUCGGAAGAACACCAGUGGCGAAGGCGACUAACUGGACAAGUACUGACGCUGAGGUACGAAAGCGUGGGGAGCAAACAGGAUUAGAUACCCUGGUAGUCCACGCCGUAAACGAUGAUAACUAGUUGUUCGGUCACUUGGUGACUGAGUGACGCAGCUAACGCAUUAAGUUAUCCGCCUGGGGAAUACGGUCGCAAGNUUAAAACUCAAAGGAAUUGACGGNUGAGAGUUGCGAGACGACGACGAGGAGAG
rnacentral:rRNA from 1 species